rnacentral:lncRNA from 1 species
CGAAGCCCCUCGGCUUGUCUGAGUGAGUGUGUGCGUGUGUUUGUCUCGAGCUGGGACGGGAGUUUUACUUGUUCAACAUGUGUGUUUUAAGUGAUAAAUGUACUUUAGAGCACAACCAUAACUGAUUUCUCGGGAUCAGUAGGAUUAUCACAGCAGUUAGCGCUGAAACGUGAAAUGAAGCGUUCUGAAUCCAACCUUGAAGUUCUAUUGUGGAGCUUAGUUUUUAAUUUUUAAGCCAUCGAUUGUGCUUAUUGCGUGUGAAGUUGAUUCAGCUAUUCAACAAUAACGGUGUUAUCAAUCAUUAUCCAUUUAUUUGACACAUAUGAAUAAGAAAAAUGCGGCCUGUCACAAAACUACAAUCACUUCUUAAUAAGGCCUAAUUUUUCUAUUUGAACACGUUUUAUAAUUCCCAACAAUUGGCGGCAGCCUCCAUUGAUCGUAAUCAUAGUUUAAUUUCAAAAUGAUUUAUUACCUCUGAGCGACUACAAAUCUCUACCGUAUAAAGAAUCCACUUCACUUUAAGUCCGAGUGAUGUACUUUACUUUUCAACGUCUCCCAUUCACUUUACGGAUCCCUGGAAUCAUUGUGUGAGCAACUCAUUCGGAACUGAGCGUGGGAUUAAAAAGAAACUCCACUAGCAUUUCCCAAGGGUAAAAGGCUAUAACGCCAAAGAAAGUGAGGCGUCUCUUGAUGUGAGAAAGAACAGCACUAUUGCGUGAGAUCAGUAUUCUACGAUCCAGGCUUUGAUGACAGACGACGUGUGAAUCUUGAAACGUUACUUCAGAGCACCUGAGGUUGAUCUCUUGGCUGAUCUGUGGUGAAAUUGGAGUUCAUUUUUUUGGUGAAUUUACUCAAGUGAACUUAUAACAAACUGGAUUUUGGAGGAUUCCAUAUUGUGUGCAUUUCUGUUUUGGGACGCUAUUUUCUGGAUAUAUUCAAACUGUGAAGACAAGUGAAUAACUAAUCCCGGUAAGUUUGUUUUAUUCACUAUACUUCCUAUCUUCGUUAAGUGCCUAUUGUAAUUCAUGUUGCUGUUGUUGUUUUUGUGCUGCUGCUGGUGCUGUUACUGCUGUUAUUGUUGUUAUUUCUUGUUUUUUGUUUUUGUUAUUUUUGUUGUUGUUAUUUCUGUUUCAAUUUCCCUUUUAAUAAAGAGCCCAUGCUCAUCUACAUAUACAUUAUUAUUAUCGACCUGUUCUUUAGUAGUAGGGGAAAUAAUCAACAUGUUUCAAAAAAAAAAA